GUGAACGCUGGCGGUAGGCCUAACACAUGCAAGUCGAACGGCAGCACAGUAAGAGCUUGCUCUUACGGGUGGCGAGUGGCGGACGGGUGAGGAAUACAUCGGAAUCUACUUUUUCGUGGGGGAUAACGUAGGGAAACUUACGCUAAUACCGCAUACGACCUACGGGUGAAAGCAGGGGAUCUUCGGACCUUGCGCGAUUGAAUGAGCCGAUGUCGGAUUAGCUAGUUGGCGGGGUAAAGGCCCACCAAGGCGACGAUCCGUAGCUGGUCUGAGAGGAUGAUCAGCCACACUGGACAUGAGACACGGUCCAGACUCCUACGGGAGGCAGCAGUGGGGAAUAUUGGACAAUGGGCGCAAGCCUGAUCCAGCCAUACCGCGUGGGUGAAGAAGGCCUUCGGGUUGUAAAGCCCUUUGUUGGGAAAGAAAAGCAGCAGGUUAAUACCCCGCUGUUCUGACGGUACCCAAAGAAUAAGCACCGGCUAACUUCGUG
rnacentral:rRNA from 1 species